GUGUCCUACGGGGGGCAGCAGUGGGGAAUAUUGGACAAUGGGGGGAACCCUGAUCCAGCGACGCCGCGUGAGUGAAGAAGUAUUUCGGUAUGUAAAGCUCUAUCAGCAGGGAAGAAAGAAAUGACGGUACCUGACUAAGAAGCCCCGGCUAACUACGUGCCAGCAGCCGCGGUAAUACGUAGGGGGCAAGCGUUAUCCGGAUUUACUGGGUGUAAAGGGAGCGUAGACGGUUGUGCAAGUCUGAAGUGAAAGCCCGCGGCUCAACUGCGGAACGGCUUUGGAAACUGUGUAACUGGAGUGCUGGG
rnacentral:rRNA from 1 species